rnacentral:rRNA from 1 species
GAUGAACGCUGGCGGCGUGCCUAAUACAUGCAAGUCGAGCGAACAGACGAGGAGCUUGCUCCUCUGACGUUAGCGGCGGACGGGUGAGUAACACGUGGAUAACCUACCUAUAAGACUGGGAUAACUUCGGGAAACCGGAGCUAAUACCGGAUAACAUGUUGAACCGCAUGGUUCAACAGUGAAAGACGGUUUUGCUGUCACUUAUAGAUGGAUCCGCGUCGCAUUAGCUAGUUGGUAAGGUAACGGCUUACCAAGGCAACGAUGCGUAGCCGACCUGAGAGGGGUAGCCGCCACGAGAGAGUGAACAGCCGGCCCAGGCCCGAGCGGGGGGCAGGAGUGGGAAUUCUGCCAGAAGGGGGGAAGACUGGACGGGGGACGGCCGCGUGAGGAAAGAAGGUCUCGGGAGGGAAAACCGCUUUUGUGGGGGAAAAAGAAUUGGGUAGUGACGAAGGGUGAUUUAGGGGAAAGCGUAAAGAAAACCCCGGUAAAAACGCG